rnacentral:lncRNA from 1 species
AUGCAGUUCUGUAAUAUUCUCAGAUAUCUUUGGAUAUUUCCUGCUUCGGAGAGCACUUUAAGCAAGGAAGGCUUUCCUUGGCUUCGCCUGCAUUCCAUAAAAUACUCAUUGCCUUUUCGGAACAAGCAUGGAUGCCUCACCCACAUUACUCGUGGAGAAAGAACAGAAAAUAAAUUGUGGAACACGGAGAAUCCAGCAAGAUUAAAUAAUCUGAUCAGCAAAAACUGGUAUAUGGGAACCCCCAUGAUAAAAUUAAAGAAACCCCCAUUUGAUCUCACAUCCGAGCAGGCAAUAAGCCAGAUGCUGCCUGCUAUAAGGCCUGUAACACUCUAUGAGUCUGCCUCUCUUGAUGCCUGUGCUGAAACCUACAUUAAAACCUUCCUUUAAGAAG